AUUGAACGCUGGCGGCAGGCCUAACACAUGCAAGUCGAGCGGAUGAUGGGAGCUUGCUCCUGGAUUCAGCGGCGGACGGGUGAGUAAUGCCUAGGAAUCUGCCUGGUAGUGGGGGACAACGUUUCGAAAGGAACGCUAAUACCGCAUACGUCCUACGGGAGAAAGCAGGGGACCUUCGGGCCUUGCGCUAUCAGAUGAGCCUAGGUCGGAUUAGCUUGUUGGUGAGGUAAUGGCUCACCAAGGCGACGAUCCGUAACUGGUCUGAGAGGAUGAUCAGUCACGCUGGAACUGAGACACGGUCCAGACUCCUACGGGAGGCAGCAGUGGGGAAUAUUGGACAAUGGGCGAAAGCCUGAUUCAGCCAUGCCGCGUGUGUGAAGAAGGUCUUCGGAUUGUAAAGCACUUUAAGUUGGGAGGAAGGGUUGUAGAUUAAUACUCUGCAAUUUUGACGUUACCGACAGAAUAAGCACCGGCUAACUCUGUGCCAGCAGCCGCCGUAAUAC
rnacentral:rRNA from 1 species